rnacentral:lncRNA from 1 species
AAUUUAAAAUUAUUUUUUACUAUUUACUAUUAAAAUUUAUUUGACUUGAUUCAACAGCUGAAAUUUUAUAUGAGAUUAUUUUUUUUCAAAAUUAUUACUUCUUUUUUCUUAACUUUUUAAAAAUGUGAAACCCUCGUAGGUUCUAAUCCAAAUCCCCCCACAAAAAAACUAAAAACCUCUUUUUUUCCUCAUCAUUUCUCUCAAACUAAUAAAUUUUUUUAAAAAUUAUUUUAAUUUUUAAAUAAUAUAUCUCUUCAUACAUACAUAUAAUGUAUCUUUUAUCUAACGUUUUUGUAUUUAUCUAUUUUUUAUAUUAUAAAAUUUUAACGAAUAUAACGAAUACAUAUAAAAGAUGAUUUUUUUUUUUAAUUUGUAUGCAAUUCCUAUAGAUAGGAACAAUUACUAAUUCUAUAAUAAUUCUAUAAUAGAACUCGAUCUUCGUAGACACGGACAAUAACUAAUUCUAUAAUAGAAUUCAAUCUUGUAGCCUCAAACAUGGGUUGUAUUGGGUUGGGCUUCUAUUUAUAUUCUCUGACUUGCUUUUACUUGUAUCUUCGCUGUAUAAAGAAGUGUAUUU